rfam:Halosimplex carlsbadense 2-9-1 contig_31, whole genome shotgun sequence.
GCCAGGGGAGCUUGGGCGGUUCAAGCACUCGACUUGUAAUCGAGAUUCCCGGGGUUCAAAUCCCUGCCCUGGCU